GCCUCCAUGGCGUAAUGGUAGCGCGUUGCUUUCCUACUUGCUUCAGUGCUCAAUUGAGCGUUUAAUUCUUUGUAAGGCAAAGGUUGCGGGUUCGAUCCCCGCUGGAGGUU